rnacentral:lncRNA from 1 species
GGGGAAGGAGGUGGCUCUCAGCUCCUGGGGUGAAGUGUUUUCUUUCCUCUGAUUGCUGUGGGGAUAGAGGCUGCCUGCUCUUCUGGCUCCAAUCUCUCCACAUGAUGCUGACUUUGGUGGACUUUUCCAGGGCCAGUGUUUCCACGGGGAUCCUACUCUGGGCUGAUUACCCAGAGACAUGGUGAGGAUGCUUCCCCAGGGCUGCAGGAAGAAGCCAUUGCUAAGGAAAUGAAGAGUCUUCAUUCUUUUCCCGAUGAUCAGUCGCAAUGGUGACAGGGAACACAGACAGGAAUUAAUGAGGCCGAGGUUAACAGGGGCCACACUUCCUGCUGUGCCGCUCUUAUGCCACACCUAGAAGGAGGCUUUAAUGUCAUUUAAUAUGUAAUUAUAAUUUAUGUAAAUAAAUUAUAUAUGACA